rnacentral:tRNA from 1 species
UCCCUCAUGGUCCAGUGGCUAAGACUCUGCACUCCCAAUCAAUGCAGGGGACCCAGGUUCAAUUCCUGGUCGGGGAA